rnacentral:lncRNA from 1 species
CUACCUUCUGCUUGCCUAUGUUUGUGUGGCGCGCGUGUGUGUGUGCAUGAGUGUGUGUUUGUGCAUGGGAGGUGGGCAUGUGUGUAAAUGCUUGUAUGCAUGUAUGUGUGCACAUGUGUGUGUGCAUGUGUGUGCACAAGUGUGUGUGUAUGUUUGUGCAUGGACAGUGGGCAUGUGUGUACGUGCUUGUGUGUGUGUGACUAGGUGUGUGUGUGUGACUAGGUGUGUGUUUCCAAUGAGUCACUCAUUGGUGACCCAGUGAACUUAACUAGAGUCAUUUGCAGGAGCAUGGGCAUCGUAGCAGCAGCUACACCAAUGAAGAAAAUGUCUUCCUCCUCUUGCUGCCAUUAGUGGCAUGUGUGUGCAUGCGUGCAUGCGUGUGUGUGCGUGCGUGUGUGUGUGUGUGUGUGUGUGUGUGUAUGUGUGUGUGUGUGUGUGUGUGUGUGUGUUUGAUGUGCAUGCAUUAGUGCUGAAAGUGGGUGUCUCAGCACGUGCAUGGAGGUCAGAGGACUACGGUUAGGAGUUAGGUCUGUGCGUUCUGGGAACUGAACUCAGAUUAUGAGGCUAUGUGACAGCUGCUUUUACUGUCUGAGCCAGCUCCUCCUGCCCCUUGUUUGUUUAUUUGUGUAUAUUACAUUUUAAUUUGGAGAUCAGGGUCUUGCUGUGCAGCACAGGAUGGCUUUAGUGCACACACCCCUCUACACAAAAAUAAAUAACAAUCCUCUUUUUAAAAAGAUACCACGGAAUACAGAGGCCAGAGGAGCUAGGCUGAGUGAGAGGUAGGUGGAAAGGGUGGAUCCCAGAGGGAAGCCAUGGGCCAACUCACGUCACAGCACUCAGCAAGGCUGGUGUUGCUCUGACCCCAGAUAUAUUAUCUUGCAGGAUCUGUGUCUAGCUGGAGAGGCUGGGAAUGGCCUCUUGGGAGACAGAACAGUAAAGUUUACAGAGCUCAUCCUAGACUCAUGUCUCCUCUUUCUUCCUCUUGAAGUGCUCACGCCCUGCAGCUGCUCAAAGACUCUGAAGCAAGGAAGGGGACCCAUAAGCCAGCAAGCGGCUCAGUGGAGUGGCAUCCCCACCCGAGAGACUUGGGGACCUGACAUGAGGAAUCAGGAGAGAAUUCCCAAGCCAGAGGCCGGCUGUGAAUCCAAGAACACAGAGAUCCAGUCUUGAGGGCAAUGUGUCCGGGCAGGAGUGGGUCUCCGUGGAAUCUCAGGCCGUCAGCUACCAUCAUGUAUACAGAUGUUCCAUGAGGAGGUUUGCUUGGAUCCCACGGCCCAGCAUUCCUGUUCAGCCUCAUUCUCCCUCUGAUCCAGCAUCGUUUCUGAGACCUGUCUCCCAGGUGGUCAUUUCUCUUCUCUCCUGUCUGGCAUCCGAUCCUAAGUAAACAAGUGACUAAUAUAAUCAUGAUGAUAGACUCAGAUUGUAUUUCAAGUGUUGUGUACACCGAGACAGUGUAUACAGAGAUAGAUCAUGUACACCGAGACUGUGUAUACAGAGAUAGAUCGUGUACACCAAGACAGUGUAUACAGAGAUAGAUCGUGUACACCGAGACAGUGUAUACAGAGAUAGAUCGUGUACACUGAGACUGUGUACAUUGAGACUGUGUAUACCAAGACUGUGUAUACAGAGAUUGUGUACACCAUGCGAUAGAGAUCCAUAUAUUUCAUUUUAAAAGUCUUUUUCAUUUUAUAUUUGUUCUUAUUUUAUGUGUACAAGUGAGUGUUUGAUGUAUGUAUGUAUGUAUGUAUAUAUGUAUGUAUGUGCACCAUAUGCAUGGCUGGUACCCUUAGAGGCCAGAA